AGAGUUUGAUCCUGGCUCAGAAUGAACGCUGGCGGCGCGCCUAAUACAUGCAAGUCGAGCGAGAAGACGUAGCAAUACGUUUGUAAAGCGGCGAACGGGUGAGGAAUACAUGGGUAACCUACCCUCGAGUGGGGAAUAACUAGCCGAAAGGUUAGCUAAUACCGCGUACGCUUCUUGGACUUCGGUUCAGGGAGGAAAGCGAUAUCGUGGGUAUCGCGCUCUUGGAUGGGCUCAUGUCCUAUCAGCUUGUUGGUGAGGUAACGGCUCACCAAGGCAUCGACGGGUAGCUGGUCUGAGAGGACGAUCAGCCACACUGGCACUGCGACACGGGCCAGACUCCUACGGGAGGCAGCAGUAAGGAAUAUUGCGCAAUGGGCGAAAGCCUGACGCAGCGACGCCGCGUGGGGGAUGAAGGUCUUCGGAUUGUAAACCCCUUUCGGGAGGGAAGAUGGAAUGGGGUAACCCAUUUGGACGGUACCUCCAGAAGCAGCCACGGCUAACUUCGUGCCAGCAGCCGCGGUA
rnacentral:rRNA from 1 species